UAUCAUACAGAAACUCCAAACGUUUGCUGGCAUCAUCUAGCUUCCUCUUGGUUUGCUGCAGGAGAGAAAAAACAGGGUGUUAGCUGGGCUAUUAUCAAACUGCAAGAUUACACCAAAGGUGAGGAUAGAAGAGACCAUGAUCUUACUGAAUGUACAGAUGGGAAAACAAAGAAGGAAUGUGAAAAAACCUUUGGAAACAGCUUCUGCUUAGCAACGUUGG